GCGCCGCUGGUGUAAUGGUAACAUUCAAGCCUUCCAUCAAGGAGCCGAUCUGGCAGCAAGCUUGAGCCUCGGGUUCGAUUCCCGAGCGGCGCA